CUAAAAUCACUGGAGAUCUCCAUCGGCCCAUCGCCCAUCGUUAGAAAAAGAAAAAAGAAAAAACUCAACUCGCUCAUGGCGGUGGUCUGCAACUCCGUGGCCGCCGCCGUCGCGCCAUAGAUCAGGACGAGGAGGGCGCGGGCGAGGCGAUGGGCCAUCCAGGCGGAAGAAGAGGAUGGCAGCGGCAGAGGGGAAGGAGAGAAGGCCCGGACGGCGGCGUACGGAGGAGAGAACGUGGGUCCAUCGCGCCGACGAGGAGGAGAAGCAACGACGCCGCGGCGGGCGCGAGGUGACCGGCGAGGCGAGGCGGCGGCGCGGCGGUGGUCACUGAUCGGGCGAGCAAGACGAGAGAGACUGCUUGGGACCUCUGAUUAAUGGUAUUUUUUUUUCCUUUCAUUUUCAUCCCAACUAUUUUUUUUUCUUAUCAUAUAUGCUCCAUUAUUACAUAAAAGUAUUUAUAAGAAUAAUCUUGGAUUCUAAGUUCUAAUUUGUAUUUCAAGGAAUUAUGAAGUUUUAGCAUUUCAAGUUGGAUCAUUACCAUAUCUACUAAAUUUCGUAAUUUACAUGUAGGCAUACAGAGGAGCUUAACCAGGUUUACUGCCCAUUACUAAUUAUUUUUCUUCCAACUUGAGGUAUAAUCCUGCACCGGACAAGUAUAGGUAGCUAAAUGCCACGAACAAGACUUAUUAGCGAUGCAUCAACCAUAUGACCUAGAUUACCUACUCAUUUACAUGUAGUAUGUAUCACAAAAAUAAAUGUUUAUGAGUGAUGAUCGUGUCUUCUUCCUUCAUGCUACCAAUUGUGUAGCUAAGAGGCGCAAACUCUGUUAUGUAAAACAACAAUUUCUAGCUUCUCACUUGGGGGGUUCAAACUUGCAAAUUGCAAGCUGAUAAGCCAUUCGUGGGCAUCAUGUUAGAUUGUUUUACACAAAUUAAGUUAUUGUAUCAUAAUAAGAGCCCGUUUGGUACAGCUCCAGCUUCCAACUUCAAUUUACCUGGAGCCGGAGUUGUGCCAAACGGUACAGAUUCUACUUUUUUUUACGGAGCUGCUCCUAAAAAAUAAACUACAAUGGUCGAGCUGGGUUUUUGCUGCUCCACAGCUUCACUCCAUACCAAAAGACCCACUGUCAUUUGUUAUUUUAUUAUAAUUACUCGAAUUUGCCACUCAUGUAGGACUAUAUAUUAUUACUAAACAUUUAUAUUAUAUGUUAACUGUCAUAUAAAAUUCUGUAACCAUAGUUGUGUUGUUCAAAUUAAAAAAAAUAAUUGGUAUUUAAUUAUAUGAAAAAUAAACAUAAUUAAAUUAUGGAUUAAUCAUGACUUCAUAUGAUCCACACAGAUAUUAUUGUCAAUAUACUCUGUAUCUCUCUUUUAGGAGUUCUGGAGCAGACUAAGCUAGCCAAAUAGUUUUGAUCUGCUCUUCAGCUCCCACAAAAGCAACUCUCACUAGAGUUGGGGUUUGAAACUAGGAUAUAGAGUUCAGAGCUCUACCAAACGGGCCCUAAGUGUUUUCUGAUUAGCAAGGCUCUAACUAUAAAACUGAAGUGUGAAAUGAUCUGUACCCUACAUGAUCUUUACCGUGCAUCUUCUUAUACCAGUCUAUACUUCCUCGCACCUUUUUAUUAGAGCUAAAUUGCUUAAUAGUUAUAAAUUCAGUAUUAUAACAUACACUCCCGGCUCCCUCAUCGUCUAACUGUUAAAGAAACAUGUGCGUGGAAGAUGAGUACUUACUCUGUCUCAAAAUAAGGUUUUUUUAGUUUUUAGAUACAAUGUUUUGACUCUUUAUUUUAUUUAAAAUUUUUUAUAAUUGAUAUUAUUAUUAUUAGAUGAUAAAAUAUGAAUAAUAUUUUUUACGCGACUAAUUUUGAGUUUUUUUUUAUAAAUUUUAAUGAAAUCGCUAAAUACAGAAACCGAAAAUUAAAUUUCUUUUUUUGAACAGGGGAGGUGAAGCUAGGAAAAAAGAGUGCCAAAGGCUUCUCGGGCAGCUUUGGGCAUACCCUCACUUUAUACAAUAAUUAACUAUUUACGACUUUACGACUCUUAUAUUUGAUAUUGAAUUAAUGUAUCUAUUAUAUGAAGUCAUAGACACGUAAGAUAAUAAAUCU
rnacentral:lncRNA from 1 species